rnacentral:misc_RNA from 1 species
GAAAUGCGAUAAGUAAUGUGAAUUGCAGAAUUCAGUGAAUCAUCGAAUCUUUGAACGCACCUUGCGCUCCUUGGUAUUCCUUGGAGCAUGCCUGUUUGAGUAUCAUGAAAUCUUCAAAGUAAAUCUUUUGUUAACUCAAUUGGUUUCUACUUUGGUAUUGGAGGUCUUUGCAGCUUCACACCUGCUCCUCUUUGUUCAUUAGCUGGAUCUCAGUGUUAUGCUUGGUUCCACUCGGCGUGAUAAGUUAUCUAUCGCUGAGGACACUGUAAAAGGUGGCCAAGGUAAAUGCAGAUGAACCUCUUCUGAUAGUCCAUUGACUUGGACAAUACCUUUAUGAUCUGAUCUCAAAUCAGGUAGGACUACCCGCUGAACUUAAGC